AUGAAGUUUAACAGGGGUCGCCGCCACCGACGGAACUCGAAGGCAGAAGUUGAUAGUGGAGACAUGCUAAGCAAGCUGCCUGGCAAUAUACAAGCUUGUAAUGGGGACAGGCUAAGUGAGCUGCCCGCCGAUGUGCUGCUCAACAUUCUCGAGAGGGUGGGCACACUUGAUGCUGUAAGAACCUGCAUCCUUUCGAAGAAAAUGCAUAGGCUGCCAACUAUGCUCUCGCAGAUCGUCAUUGAUCUCAGCCCUCGUGAUUUGUUUCAAAAAAGUGAUGUCGUGGCUGAUGUGACCAACAAGAUUCUUAGUAGGAGGCCUCCACAAAUCACCAUUCGCAAGCUGAAGCUCAAAUUUGUCUUGAGUCCUCCUUGCUGUCAUUCCAUAGGCAAAUCCGUUGGCCUGGCCAUGGCAACACAUAAAUUUGAUGCAGCUGAGUUUGAGAUCUUGACACCGAAGGAUUCCCAUAUUUGCACUGAUGACCAUCGUGUGCUCUUUGCUGACCAGUUCAAUAAUUUUGUUCGUGAUUAUCCAGAUGCAUUUGCUGGUCUCACGCGUCUGCAUCUACGGAACAUGAGCUUUGGUGAAUCAGACAUACCCAACAUUCUUCGCUAUUGCAAGGUGCUGGAGUCACUGUCUUUCUUCAUGUGUGGCGCGGGGAUCAGUUCGGUGCUGCAUGUGGAACAUACUCGUCUCACCGAACUUGUUAUCUCCUAUUGUGAAUUCAAAAGAGUGGAGCUCAGCUGUCUACCAAAGCUCCAACGGGUGACCUUUGGUAAUUGGACCUGUGGUUGCUCAAAAAAAAGUAAUUGGCCCUGUGAUGAAAGUCCGCUGAUUCUUGGUUUUGUCCCGCAACUUUCGAAGCUAAGCCUUCCUCAAGCUUGUCUUUCACGGAAGACCCUCAACCUAAGCCAGUUGCUUGCUAAUGUCCCCACUGUAAGCGAUUUGUAUUUGGAGUUUCGAAGCGAAAAGGUACUCACUCCAAUAUCUCUACCACAUUAUCAUUGUAUGAUGCUUAUAUGCAAUGGUAGUAACUUAUGCAUCAUUCGAGGAUUUAAUUUAUGCACAACUUCUUUUUGUCUGUACCAGGUUUGGAUUCGACCAGAAUGCCCAAAAGUGCUUGCUCCGGUGCUCACCCAACUACGGUCUGUGAGUCUGGACAAUCUUCCCGAAGAAUGUGACAUCUCUUGGACAAUGUUCCUUCUUGAAGCUGCACCAUCCGUAGAGGACCUUUGCAUCACAGUAUGGGAUCAUAAGUGCCGGAAGGAGUCACAAAAGAGUCGCUCCAGGAAAAUGGAUGUGCAUUGGGAGCCAUCUGAUCCUGAUUUUAAGCACAAGAAUCUGGCUAGGCUAACUAUCUACGGUUUCCAGUCCGAUGACAAUUUCAUCGGAUACGUUAGACGAGUCAUUCAAGCUGCGGCGAACAUCAGGGAGGUAUCCCUGCACGACAGGAAGGUAUGCCGAUUGUGUUCUGAAAAGUUUCCUCAUCUUGGUGUUCGUCCUUCGAGUUAUCCACGGACCAGCAAGGAAGUGGAUUUGUUGAUGAAGAAUAUGACAGCGGCGGCAACGACUUCUCCUGAUAUUCACUUCUGCUCAUAA
rnacentral:rRNA from 1 species